UGUUUUGUUGUAUUAAUGUUUUGCUAUUCUUUUAAAUCUAGAACGUUUUUUAAACUAUAUUGUUAUAGUUUAAGUACUUGGUGUGAACAGGCGAGAGAAAAACCUCUCAAGGCCACAGGUUCACAUCAAGAACGAUAACUAUGAACUAUAACAAUAUAUUGUCCACACCUGCAGCCAACAACUUUCUAAUUAUUGUAAGAACGCGCUGCGGUUUUGUCUUCUGUCGCUUUAAAUGCACGCGCUGUUUAAAGCAGGAUGGAUUCUGAUUGGCUGUCAAGUGUUUUUAAUCUUAAUCAUCUGAAAAAAACAAACAAACAAUUAGAACAAUUAUUAAAAUCUAAUAGUUAUUAUCAUCCUUGCUGUAAACGGUCUUUUAGGGUGUUUGAUUUACACAUACAAAAUAAGUAAUAUAUAUGUAAUUUAUAGAUCAAUAAGUUAUAAGUUGUAAUCUUUUAAUUUAUCUUUUAUAUCUCUUUUAGUCUAAUUUAUGUAUCUACAUUAUUGUUGUUGUGCAGUGGGGACAAUAACUGAAAGGAAAAGCGGUCGCUAAUGAUUAAAUUAAGAUUUCACUGCGCGCACGCGAGCGUCCGGUUCCGCGCUUCCGGUGUCAGGGCGGGAGCUGUCACGUGGCGCGGCCGCUGUUUGUACAGGUGGUUUAGUAAAGAAAACGUCGGAAAGACGCUUCCAGUUCAAACUCCCGGCCUACUCGAAAAAGACGCGAGGAAAGAAUAAUAUAUGGUGGAAAAUAAUGCGAGGAAAAGGGCUGAAGGUUUGACAGAUGAGCUCGAGUCUGUUUCCCGCGCGCGGGCUUUGAGUGAUGGCGCGAAUAAUUUGUCGUUAACGCUGAAGAGAGAUUUUAAGUGAACAUCUCGAACUAACAUCUACGAAGCAUCCCAACGCAAAGUGUGACUUAACAAAGUUCCCCGUUGGCUGGAAAACGUCUCAUCUUCCAACGAUGAUCUCACACAGGUCUCAGGAUCAUCACUCAUGAGUCUUUGUGUCUGUCUUUGUCUCUCCGUCUCUCUUUGUUUUGUCUGUUAUUGAUAUAGAGACGCUUCUUCACGCUGCUCAAGUGGCUCUCAGUGCUAAUGCUGUCGCUGGACGCCGGCCAAUCAGAACCGCACUUUAAACACCCG